rnacentral:rRNA from 1 species
GACGAACGCUGGCGGCGUGCUUAACACAUGCAAGUCGAGCGGUAAGGCCCUUUCGGGGGUACACGAGCGGCGAACGGGUGAGUAACACGUGGGUGACCUGCCCUUAGCUCUGGGAUAAGCCUGGGAAACUGGGUCUAAUACCGGAUAUGACUCCAUAGCGCAUGUUGUGGGGUGGAAAGCCUUGUGCGGCUAGGGAUGGGCCCGCGGCCUAUCAGCUUGUUGGUGGGGUGAUGGCCUACCAAGGCGACGACGGGUAGCCGGCCUGAGAGGGCGACCGGCCACACUGGGACUGAGACACGGCCCAGACUCCUACGGGAGGCAGCAGUGGGGAAUCUUGCGCAAUGGGCGAAAGCCUGACGCAGCGACGCCGCGUGGGGAUGACGGCCUCGG